UACGAAGGGGGCUAGCGUUGUUCGGAAUUACUGGGCGUAAAGGGCGCGUAGGCGGUCUGCUAAGUUGGAUGUGAAAACUCUGGGCUUAACCCAGAGCCUGCAUUCAAUACUGACAGGCUAGAGUUCUGGAGGGGAUAGCGGAAUUCCUGGUGUAGCGGUGAAAUUCGUAGAUAUUCGGAGGAACACCAGUGGCGAAGGCGGCUCACUGGUCCGGUACUGACGCUGAGGUGCGAAAGCGUGGGGAGCAAACAGG
rnacentral:rRNA from 1 species